GAUGAACGCUGGCGGCGUGCCUAACACAUGCAAGUCGAACGAUGAAGCCCAGCUGGUUGGGUGGUUUAGUGGCGAACGGGUGAGUAACACGUGAGUAAGCUGCCCUUCACUCUGGGAUAAGCCAGGGAAAGUAGGCCUAAUACCGGACAGGAGAGUCCACCGCACGGAGGGUGUUGGAAAGAUUAAUCGGUUUUGGUUGGACUGGCGGCCUAGCAGCUUGCUGGUGAGGUAAUGGCUCACGAAGGCGACGACGGGUAGCCGGCCUGGGAGGGGGACCGGCCACACUGGGACUACGGCAGGGCCCAGAGGGCAACGUGGGGCAGCAGUGGGAAGCAGUGGGCAAUGGGCGCGAGCCUAGUGCAGCGACGCCGGGUGGGGAAUGACGGCCGUCGGGUUAGAAACCGCUUUCAGUGGAGAAGAAGCGGCAGUGACGGUACCUGCAGAAGAAGCACCGGCUAACUACGUG
rnacentral:rRNA from 1 species